ACACAAAGCGAAAGCAUAACAGACAGCUCAUCCCUCUCUUCCCACCCAGGGAGCUAGCAAAUCUUCAAGGGACUGCUUGAACACAAAGAUGAUUCAUGUUAAGUUUCCAGCUGAUAAAUCUGUAGAUCACUGAAUCUCAACUCAUGGUGACAGAGUACCCUGGGGUGCUGCGAGAUGCUUUAAAGGAUGUUGCCGGCAGCCUGAAGAGAUAAGCAGGGUGUGAGAACAUAAGCAGAUAAGGGCAGGCUCAGGCUCUCCCUGCCUGGCUGCUUCCCUGUCUCCCCUGCCCAGCUUCUCUGCAAGAAGAGUGUCAAACUCAUCCAUUCCCACCUCAUGGACUGGAUCUGGAGUGUGGGGCUCCUUCUGGGUCCAAUCCAGAUGACAAGGAGCCUUGUGGGAUGGAUUCUGACCCAUCUCCAGUAUCAGGGAAGCAACUGUGACCACCUGAAACCCAAGAUCUUGCUCCUGCCUUUGUUUCAAAGUAAUUUGCAUCAUCACAGAUCCUCACAGGAGUUUCGACUUACAACACUUGAUCCGAUGCAAUGCCAUGCCAGCAAACAAGUUCACUGUGUCACUCAUCUCCCUGGAGAACAUCUGUCCAAACUUCCUUGGACACUUUGUUUAAGAAAGCAAACAAGACUCCAGAAAAACCUGCAGCCAAGACUCCUGAGAAGACUCCAGCCAAGAGCCCUUCAAAAAGCCCAACCAAGAGCCCUUCAAAAAGUCCAGCAAAGUCACCUCAAAUAAGUCCUUCUAAAUCAAUAUGAUUGCUAUUUACAAUAUAAAUAUAUUAAUGUAACUAUAUUACUCAUCUAUGAUUGAUCGAGUACAGAAUUCUGGGGUAUUUUUGGUGAAAAUAGGGUAUCGGGCCUUGGUUCAGGAACCAAUCCCCCAUCUAUAACAUUGAGAAAAUUAGUUCCGAGUUACAAUGUUUCAACUUGAGAUGUAUUUUUUAGGAACCAUUUGUGUCAUAAGUCUGAGGACUGCCUGUACUGAACAUGGAGGUACCUUCUGAGGCCCAGCAGCACCCUGGGCCACCUGCAGCCAGCCUCUGGCCACUGGGUCAUGCAGCAGAAGCCCCCAGCCAGCCACAGCAGCCUGCCCAGACCCUGGCGCUGGUCCCUAGCACAGCAUUGCCACGUGCCUGCCUGUCCUGCACUGUGUCCCUGUGCUGGGUGCUGCAGGCAUCUACUGAGGCCCAGCAGCACAUGGACUGUUGCAUGCAGGUUCUUCAGGCCAUCAAGGCAGUCACUUUGGCAUCAUGUCCGAUGCCAUACACUGCCUCCCUGGGCCGCAUCUGGUCCCAGGAGGAGAGAGCGGACCUUGUGGAGCUGCGGGGCAAGGCUGAGGUCCUCAGCCAGUUUGUUCAGCACGAGCUCUCCAACACAACAUGAAUUUCUAUGAGAACCUGUCAGGCCAUAUGUGGGAGCAUGGGUAUGACCAGUCAGCAUGCCAGUACUGCAUAAAGGUCAAGACCUUGUGGGCACAGUAGGUCACCGUCACCAACUACAACUGCUGGCCAGGGUCUGCCUGCAAAUCAGUGCACUGUAUGUGACAGCUGGACCACAUCCUUGAGCCCUGGGACCCUGGCUGGAGCUGUGCCAUGUGCUCCAGCAUGGGCAGCUGGCCCAAUCCUCUGCUGUGGCCUGGCAUUUGCAAUGAGGCAUCAGCAGGGGAGGGCCCCUCAGGACACCAAGAGCCCAUCCCACCACAGUCCCCACCUGUGGCCUCAUCAAGCAGCUCCAGCAAUCUGGGCCAGCACCUGCCCUGCCAGCUCUGGGUGCACAGCUCCACCAAGGAGGCCAACCAAGCCAUGGCCCACCAGUUCUCAGCAGCUCCAGCUCCUCCCUGGAGGGGACCUCUGCCAAGGCAGCCAGGCACUGUGCCCCUGUGCCCUAGGACACCAC